rnacentral:rRNA from 1 species
UAGGGAAUCUUCGGCAAUGGACGGAAGUCUGACCGAGCAACGCCGCGUGAGUGAAGAAGGUUUUCGGAUCGUAAAGCUCUGUUGUUAGAGAAGAACGUUGGUAGGAGUGGAAAAUCUACCAAUUGACGGUAACUAACCAGAAAGGGACGGCUAACUACGUGCCAGCAGCCGCGGUAAUACGUAGGUCCCGAGCGUUGUCCGGAUUUAUUGGGCGUAAAGCGAGCGCAGGCGGUUCUUUAAGUCUGAAGUUAAAGGCAGUGGCUUAACCAUUGUACGCUUUGGAAACGGGAGGACUUGAGUGCAGAAGGGGAGAGUGGAAUUCCAUGUGUAGCGGUGAAAUGCGUAGAUAUAUGGAGGAACACCGGUGGCGAAAGCGGCUCUCUGGUAUGUAACUGACGCUGAGGCUAGAAAGCGUGGGGAGCAAACAGG